AGUGAACGCUGGCGGUAGGCCUAACACAUGCAAGUCGAACGGCAGCACAGUGAGAGCUUGCUCUUACGGGUGGCGAGUGGCGGACGGGUGAGGAAUACAUCGGAAUCUACUUUUUCGUGGGGGAUAACGUAGGGAAACUUACGCUAAUACCGCAUACGACCUACGGGUGAAAGCAGGGGAUCUUCGGACCUUGCGCGAUUGAAUGAGCCGAUGUCGGAUUAGCUAGUUGGCGGGGUAAAGGCCCACCAAGGCGACGAUCCGUAGCUGGUCUGAGAGGAUGAUCAGCCACACUGGAACUGAGACACGGCCCAGACUCCUACGGGAGGCAGCAGUGGGGAAUAUUGGACAAUGGGCGCAAGCCUGAUCCAGCCAUACCGCGUGGGUGAAGAAGGCCUUCGGGUUGUAAAGCCCUUUUGUUGGGAAAGAAAAGCAGCAGGUUAAUACCCCGCUGUUCUGACGGUACCCAAAGAAUAAGCACCGGCUAACUUCGUG
rnacentral:rRNA from 1 species